rnacentral:lncRNA from 1 species
GUAGUUACAUGGUUUUCAAUAGCUGCAAAUUGAAAGGGAGCUGCAAACUGCAAAGGGAGCUGGCAAAUAUCUUUUAACUUGAUGCACAACGUGCCCACUCAGACAUUACUAACGGAGAAGAGGAUAACAAAUACUGAGAGACAAUUAGCCAAUUCUAUCACACAUCCUAAUUGCAAAAUUAUACCUGCCAUUACCAAACCCCCAAAUGAAGAUAUCUCUUGUGUAAACACUUUUAGACAUUGCUGUCAUAAAAAUGCACAUGAAGCCAGUCAGGUUUCCUUGAAUAAAUAAGAAUUCACGUCUUUUUCAUGAGAUUUUUAAAGAGAAUGGGGGGAAGAAAGACACCCUUUACCAAGGCCUGCUGUGUGCCAACCACAGAGCCUUUGCAUCUGCAUCUCAUUGAUUGUCUACUACCAGGAGUAGUAGGAAGUCUAACUUUCUAUAAUGGUCAAGGUGGGCUGGAUUUGAUGUAGUUAAAGAGAAAAUUCCUGCUUACUUGUUGGGAGGGGGAUAGGGGAGUGAAGGAAUCAUGCAAGAGUUCCUAUAGAUCAAAGAAGGGGACAUGACCACCCCUAUCUUCCAGCAGGUGACCAAGUGCUGAGAACUGGAAACAUCAUUGGCUGAUGGUUCAGGGUUAGAACGAAGCUCGUAGAAGCCAGGAUCACUGCCUCACCACCUUUGUAUCUAGCGCCUGGCCCACAUCCUCACACACCCAAGAAGACUGAUAAAUGUUAGUUUGCCAAAGGAAAGUUUUAAAAUCCCCCCUAAUCUCCCGCAUGAACCUCAAUCAUCUUUCUAGAACCAGUCUUCCUGAAAGAAUUAACUUCUGCAGCAUCAUUCCUAGAAUAGAUGGUGAAAAAGAUAAGAACUUGCUGAAAAUUAGGUUCCACUCAACUUCAUCCACAUUGCCUGCCACCCAAGAGAAAAAAUUCCCCAAUGCAGCAUGGAUGCCAGCCUUCUAAUGGAGGAAACACUUAUUUUGACUUUCAUGCUACAGUACAAUUUGAUGUGUCAAAACUCUUGUCUUUAAUUUGCCCUUUUACAAGGACGUCAUAACAAAUGUUACAAAAGGGAAAUACAUUUUUUCUGAUGAUGAGGUUACAUAGCAGACUAAUCACUUUCGCUUUUCUGAAGAAUCAAGUGCUGGUGUUGUUAUUAGGGAUUGUCAGCUAAAUAAUUUAAGCUGUGCUAUUUACGUAAGUCCUUAAUUACUGCUGGGAUUUGAACAGUAAGAUAGAGUUAAUGAUCUUUUCUGUCACAUCUCUUCUGUAAUGUGAUGACUUUUGGGAGCUUCCUCCUUCUAAUUGCAUAAAAC